AUCGCUUCUUGGCCUUUUGGCUAAGGUCAAGUGUAGUACCUGUUCUUAUCAGUUUAAUAUCUUAUACACCCUCUAUCCCAGGAUCAUAUAGUAAAUGGAUUUCUUUUCUUAAAAAGAUUCCAU
rnacentral:snRNA from 1 species